rnacentral:rRNA from 1 species
GACGAAGGAUGCAAGCGUUAUCCGGAUUCAUUGGGUUUAAAGGGAGCGUAGGCGGCCCUGUAAGUCAGUGGUGAAAUCUCGCAGCUUAACUGCGAAAUUGCCAUUGAUACUGCAGGGCUUGAGUACAGUUGCUGUGGGCGGAAUAUGACAUGUAGUGGUGAAAUACAUAGAGAUGUCAUAGAACACCGAUUGCGAAGGCAGCUCACAAAACUGUAACUGACGCUGAGGCUCGAAAGUGCGGGGAUCAAACAGG